rnacentral:rRNA from 1 species
GGGGGGGGGUGGGGGUGGGGGGGGGGGGGGGGGGGGGGGGGGCGGGGGCGUGGGGGCGGGCUGUGGCGGGUGGGGGGUGGGUGGCGGGUGGGGAAGACAUGUGCGUCUGGUUUUUGGGGGAGUAGACAGUAGGGGAGCUUACGCUCCUCCCGGCUCCGCCCUACUGGUGAAAUCAGGGAAUAUUCAGACCUUGCUCGGUUGAUUCAGGCGAUGUCGGAUGAUCUAGUUCGCGGGUUAAAGGCCUACCAAGGCGACGAGCCGUAGCUGGUCUGAGAGGAUAAGCAGCCACACUGGAACUGAGACACGGUCCAGACUCCUACGGGAGGCAGCAGUGGGGAAUAUUGGACAAUGGGCGCAAGCCUGAUCCAGCCAGACCGCGUGGGUGAAGAAGGCCUUCGGGUUGUAAAGCCCUUUUGUUGGGAAAGAAAAGCAGCAGGUUAAGACCCCGCUGUUCUGACGGUACCCAAAGAAUAAGCACCGGCUAACUUCGUG